rnacentral:rRNA from 1 species
UACGUAGGGUGCGAGCGUUGUCCGGAAUUAUUGGGCGUAAAGAGCUCGUAGGCGGCUUGUCGCGUCGGAUGUGAAAGCCCGGGGCUUAACUCCGGGUCUGCAUUCGAUACGGGCAGGCUAGAGUUCGGUAGGGGAGAUCGGAAUUCCUGGUGUAGCGGUGAAAAUGCGCAGAUAUCAGGAGGAACACCGGUGGCGAAGGCGGAUCUCUGGGCCGAUACUGACGCUGAGGAGCGAAAGCGUGGGGAGCGAAACAGG